AAUUUCAUAACUAAACAACAACAGAUCUGAGAGAUCUAAGCUAGCCAAAUGUCUGACAACGCUGUUCUUCAUUUUCUGGGUUCUCCAGAAAAUGAAGAACAGACGUGGGUGCUACUUUGAUCAUUUUAAUAUCCACCUCCCAAGCUUGUGCAGGGUGCUUAAUUGAUUCAUUAAUGUAGUAUUGAUGGUAGUGUACAACUUCAUAACACUAAAUCAUA
rnacentral:lncRNA from 1 species